rnacentral:rRNA from 1 species
CAGCAGCGCCGCGGGAAUACAGAGGGUGCGAGCGUUAAUCGGAUUUACUGGGCGUAAAGCGUGCGUAGGCGGCUUUUUAAGUCGGAUGUAAAAUCCCUGAGCUUAACUUAGGAAUUGCAUUCGAUACUGGGAAGCUAGAGUAUGGGAGAGGAUGGUAGAAUUCCAGGUGUAGCGGUGAAAUGCGUAGAGAUCUGGAGGAAUACCGAUGGCGAAGGCAGCCAUCUGGCCUAAUACUGACGCUGAGGUACGAAAGCAUGGGGAGCAAACAGGAUUAGAUACCCGCGUAGUCCCUGUCUCUUAUACA